rnacentral:rRNA from 1 species
UCAGACACGUCAGAGUUUGAUCCUGGCUCAGGACGAACGCUGGCGGCGUGCCUAACACAUGCAAGUCGAGGGGAAACGGGCAUGAGAUGCUUGCAUCUUAUGGACGUCGACCGGCGUACGGGUGAGUAACGCGUAUCCAACCUGCCCGCGAGUAGGGGAUAACCCGCAGAAAUGCGGACUAAUACCCUAUAUAGUCCAAAGACGGCAUCAGAUUUGGAUGAAAGAUUUAUCGCUCGCGGAUGGGGAUGCGUCUGAUUAGCUUGUUGGCGGGGUAACGGCCCACCAAGGCAUCGAUCAGUAGGGGUUCUGAGAGGAAGGUCCCCCACAUAGGAACUGAGACACGGUCCUA